GUCUGCAACCCGACUACAUGAAGCUGGAAUCGCUAGUAAUCGCGGAUCAGAAUGCCGCGGUGAAUACGUUCCCGGGUCUUGUACACACCGCCCGUCACACCAUGAGAGUCUGUAACACCCAAAGCCGGUGGGAUAACCUUUAUAGGAGUCAGCCGUCUAAGGUAGGACAGAUGAUUAGGGUGAAGUCGUAACAAGGUACC
rnacentral:rRNA from 1 species